AUGGCUGGGGUGGGCGUUGGGACCGGGGCGAUGAACUCCCUCCUCGGCAAGCUCACUGCCUUGCUCAGCGACGAGUACAAUCUUCUCAAGAGCGUCCGCAAGGAGAUCCAGUUCCUUGAGCGCGAGCUCAGCGGCAUGCGAGUCCUGCUGGAGAGGCUGGCGGACAUGGAGGAGAAACUCGAUGGCCUGGCAAAGGGCUGGAGAGACAGAGUGCGCGAUCUUAGCUACGACAUAGAAGACUGCAUCGACCGCUUCAUGGACCGCCUUGGAAGCGGAGAUGCCAAACCAAAGUUCAUGAAGAGGACGGCGCGCCGGCUCAAGACUCUGUGGGUGCGCCACGACAUCGCAACCCAGAUCAAAGAGCUCAAAGCUCGCGUCAUGGAGGAAAGCGAGCGCCGUGACAGGUACAAGCUUGAUGAGAGUUACUACAAUGCAACGAGGACGGUGGAGAUAGAUCCGCGGAUAAUUGCGAUCCACGAGGAGGUCAAGGGCUUGGUGGCAAUGGACGGCCCAAUGAAGCACGUCACUGCCUUGCUGAUGGAUGAGAGUAAAGAGUUGAAAGUGGUGCCGAUUGUCGGAUCAGGAGGGUUGGGGAAGACAACCCUGGCCAUGGAGGUCUAUCGCAAGAUUGGAUCAGGAGGGGACUUCCAGUGCCAAGCUUGUGUGUCAGUGUCACGCACACUUGAUCUGGUGAAGCUCCUCAAAGAUAUAUUGUCUCAGAUCGAUAAACAUGCAUACAAAGAGUGUCAGAGUUGGGAAAAGGAACAACUAAUCCGUGAAAUCAAACAGAUCUUGACAGGAAAGAGGUACUUCAUUGUUAUUGACGACGUAUGGAAAGAACAAGAUUGGAAAUUGGUCAAGGCGGCAUUUCCUGAGAAUAAUAAUGGUAGCAGAAUAAUUGCUACUACACGCAUUACAAGUGUAGCUAAUCUAUGUUGUUCCGUCUCAGAUGAGCAACCCUAUCAAAUGGCACCUCUGGAUGAUGUUGAUUCUAGAAGACUGUUCUUUAAGAGAAUUUUCAGCUCAGGUGAUUCAUGUCCUUGUGAACUGGAAGAAGUUUCUGCUAGGAUUUUAAAAAAAUGUGGCGGACUGCCGUUGGCUAUAAUUACAUUUGCAAGUUUGCUUGCCAGUAAGCCACAUAACAAGGAUGAAUGGGAGAGACUGCAAGAUUCCAUUGGUACUGGUUCUUCAUUUGAUAACGAUGGGAACUUAAAAGGGAUGAAAGAUAUAUUGUUACAUAGCUACAUGGAUCUUCCCCACCACCUGAAGGCUUGUUUACUGUACUUGUGUAUAUAUCCAGAGGACUCAAUGAUCAGUAUUAAACAGUUGAAAUGGAAAUGGAUAGCGGAAGGAUUCAUUGCUACACAAUGGGGAAGUUUGGAUCAAGCAGCACUGAACUGUUUUAAUGAGCUCGUUAAUAGAAAUAUGAUUCAGCCAGUUUAUGGUAAUUUUGGCAGUUCGGUGAAAUAUUGUAGGGUCCAUGAUAUGGUGCUUGACCUUAUUAUAUCUUUCUCGGAUGCGGAGAAUUUUGCCACUGUCUUAAAUGGGCGUAGAUGCAAUUCUUUCCCAAAUAAGAUACGUCGUCUGUCCAUCCAAUCUAGUGGAAAAGAGCAUGAAGGGGCAGUUGGGGCAAUUACAGAGACCAAGAUACAUAUUCGCUCAUUGACUGUGUUUGAUAAGACCAAGAUACAUCUCGUGGACUUCCAUGCUUUGCGGGUGUUGGAUAUUGAGGGAUUUUAUUUUUUGAGAAACAAGCAUGUAAAACAUAUAGGAAGCUCGCGUCAGCUGAGGUAUUUGAGAAUUGACAGUCUGCAUAUUACCGAGCUUCCUGGUGAAAUUGGAAAGCUGCAGCACUUGGAGACUCUGGAUUUGAGAUACUGUUUGGCAGUUUGGCACUUCUAA
rnacentral:rRNA from 1 species